AUUGAACGCUGGCGGCAGGCCUAGCACAUGCAAGUCGAGCGGAUGAAGGGAGCUUGCUCCUGGAUUCAGCGGCGGACGGGUGAGUAAUGCCUAGGAAUCUGCCUGGUAGUGGGGGAUAACGUCCGGAAACGGGCGCUAAUACCGCAUACGUCCUGAGGGAGAAAGUGGGGGAUCUUCGGACCUCACGCUAUCAGAUGAGCCUAGGUCGGAUUAGCUAGUUGGUGGGGUAAAGGCCUACCAAGGCGACGAUCCGUAACUGGUCUGAGAGGAUGAUCAGUCACACUGGAACUGAGACACGGUCCAGACUCCUACGGGAGGCAGCAGUGGGGAAUAUUGGACAAUGGGCGAAAGCCUGAUCCAGCCAUGCCGCGUGUGUGAAGAAGGUCUUCGGAUUGUAAAGCACUUUAAGUUGGGAGGAGGGGCAGUAAGUUAAUACCUUGCUGUUUUGACGUUACCAACAGAAUAAGCACCGGCUAACUUCGUG
rnacentral:rRNA from 1 species